GACGAACGCUGGCGGCGUGCUUAACACAUGCAAGUCGAACGGAAAGGCCCAGCUUGCUGGGUACUCGAGUGGCGAACGGUGAGUAACACGUGGGUGAUCUGCCCUGCACUCUGGGAUAAGCCUGGGAAACUGGGUCUAAUACCGGAUAUGACCAACUGUCUCAUGGUGGUUGGUGGAAAGCUUUUGCGGUGUGGGAUGGGCCCGCGGCCUAUCAGCUUGUUGGUGGGGUAAUGGCCUACCAAGGCGACGACGGGUAGCCGACCUGAGAGGGUGAUCGGCCACACUGGGACUGAGACACGGCCCAGACUCCUACGGGAGGCAGCAGUGGGGAAUAUUGCACAAUGGGCGCAAGCCUGAUGCAGCGACGCCGCGUGAGGGAUGACGGCCUUC
rnacentral:rRNA from 1 species